UCGAGCGGACAGAUGGGAGCUAUGCUACCUGAUGUUAGCGGCGGACGGGUGAGUAACACGUGGGUAACCUGCCUGUAAGACUGGGAUAACUCCGGGAAACCGGGGCUAAUACCGGAUGGUUGUUUGAACCGCAUGGUUCAGACAUAAAAGGUGGCUUCGGCUACCACUUACAGAUGGACCCGCGGCGCAUUAGCUAGUUGGUGAGGUAACGGCUCACCAAGGCGACGAUGCGUAGCCGACCUGAGAGGGUGAUCGGCCACACUGGGACUGAGACACGGCCCAGACUCCUACGGGAGGCAGCAGUAGGGAAUCUUCCGCAAUGGACGAAAGUCUGACGGAGCAACGCCGCGUGAGUGAUGAAGGUUUUCGGAUCGUAAAGCUCUGUUGUUAGGGAAGAACAAGUGCCGUUCAAAUAGGGCGGCACCUUGACGGUACCUAACCAGAAAGCCACGGCUAACUACGUGCCAGCAGCCGCGGUAAUACGUAGGUGGCAAGCGUUGUCCGGAAUUAUUGGGCGUAAAGGGCUCGCAGGCGGUUUCUUAAGUCUGAUGUGAAAGCCCCCGGCUCAACCGGGGAGGGUCAUUGGAAACUGGGGAACUUGAGUGCAGAAGAGGAGAGUGGAAUUCCACGUGUAGCGGUGAAAUGCGUAGAGAUGUGGAGGAACACCAGUGGCGAAGGCGACUCUCUGGUCUGUAACUGACGCUGAGGAGCGAAAGCGUGGGGAGCGAACAGGAUUAGAUACCCUGGUAGUCCACGCCGUAAACGAUGAGUGCUAAGUGUUAGGGGGUUUCCGCCCCUUAGUGCUGCAGCUAACGCAUUAAGCACUCCGCCUGGGGGAGUACGGUCGCAAGACUGAAACUCAAAGGAAUUGACGGGGGGCCCGCACAAGCGGUGGAGCAUGUGGUUUAAUUCGAAGCAACGCGAAGAAACCUUACCAGGUCUUGACAUCCUCUGACAAUCCUAGAGAUAGGACGUCCCCUUCGGGGGCAGAGUGACAGGUGGUGCAUGGUUGUCGUCAGCUCGUGUCGUGAGAUGUUGGGUUAAGUCCCGCAACGAGCGCAACCCUUGAUCUUAGUUGCCAGCAUUCAGUUGGGCACUCUAAGGUGACUGCCGGUGACAAACCGGAGGAAGGUGGGGAUGACGUCAAAUCAUCAUGCCCCUUAUGACCUGGGCUACACACGUGCUACAAUGGGCAGAACAAAGGGCAGCGAAACCGCGAGGUUAAGCCAAUCCCACAAAUCUGUUCUCAGUUCGG
rnacentral:rRNA from 1 species